UUUUUAUGGAGAGUUUGAUCCUGGCUCAGGAUGAACGCUGGCGGCGUGCCUAAUACAUGCAAGUCGAGCGAACAGACGAGGAGCUUGCUCCUCUGACGUUAGCGGCGGACGGGUGAGUAACACGUGGAUAACCUACCUAUAAGACUGGGAUAACUUCGGGAAACCGGAGCUAAUACCGGAUAAUAUAUUGAACCGCAUGGUUCAAUAGUGAAAGACGGUUUUGCUGUCACUUAUAGAUGGAUCCGCGCCGCAUUAGCUAGUUGGUAAGGUAACGGCUUACCAAGGCACGAUGCGUAGCCGACCUGAGAGGGUGAUCGGCCACACUGGAACUGAGAC
rnacentral:rRNA from 1 species